GUACAUGCAUAUAUUUUCUUUACAUAAAAAGACAACCAACCGAAUAUUAAUUAAAACAUACUGAUUAUUAAAAUGCUCCAAUUAUUACCACAGACAUUGGCCCUGAUUCAAAAAAGUGUUUAAUCGCAUGUUGAUUCAUUUUUUUUCAGUCUUAGGGACUUUCCUGUGUUCCAGUGUGUGUGCAUAAGCAUUCUUCCCAAUUUCUUCCCCUCUCCUUGAAUUAGCAUUAGAAAAAAUCUUGUCUCCACAUGCAAAGAAACCCAAGGUUCAUAACGCAGGUUCUGUUGCCAUACCCCAUCUCUGAUUCUUCAGCUUCACUGAGAGAAUGUAAGACCAAGAUAUUUUCAUAUUAUGCAAAGUUGCACGUUUAACUUGCUGUUGUUUUAACCCCCCUGGAAGCUUGAGGCUGAAGUCUGUUUCCUUGCUGCUGGAGAAGUUUUUCUUUUCUAUUGUGUGAGUGUCCUGGGUUGUUUUUGUAGGGCUGUGAUCUUGGGCUGUUUGGCUAGCUGUGUUUCUCUUUUAUUUUCACGUUCGGUGAGGCAUUUGAUCUGAAACAAAGCAAGCUGUACAUGAACUGAAUUAAAAGAAGGUAAAAUUUGUAGCCUGCUACCAAACGCUUUGAGACUCACUUUAUCCAUAAUUUCUUGAUAAUUUUUUGGACAUGGAGAUGCAUCCCCCUCCCCACCAAGCCUGUUUGCUAGCUGCUGGGGUUGCUUUAGUCCCCCCCUUGGCCAGAGUCUGGCAAAAGCUUGAUUGAUAGGCAAAAUAGCCUGAAAUGCAUCUUUCAUGGGAGUUUGAAAAUAGAAAGUGCAACUCGUAAUCCUUUCUGGAUCAGGCUGCAAUCACGCUGCACCGCAACCCUUGUCCUCCGUGCGCUGCGCUCAUUUACCUCCCACGUAAACGCAGGAGAGGAUUUUUUUUUAUUUUUUUUAAAAAAAAAGCUCUCCGCCUGUUCUGUUACGGCGUGUCCUCGUACACCACUGUCCGAGAAGUACGUGUCGCACACGCCGACCAAAUUUUCCGGCUUGGGGACCGGCUGCCAGCAGCGCUGCAGCGGCGGCGGGGCGACCGUGACCCCUGCCGGCGGCGGCCGCCCCCAACCGGGAAGAGCUCAGGGAUGGAGACGUUCAAUCCUUGGGCUUGUCCCCACGGAAACAGAAACAGCUGUGGCUGGAGCUUGCUGAAAAGGAAAUCCCACAGCCUUGUCACAAGUUUAAAGAUAAGUAACAUCCCUACUGGAUUCAUGAUCAAAGAGCUCAUUGCAGUUGUAUUCCCACAUUCUUACUUCUCCUUUCAAUGUAUUCCAAGCUCUUUUUUUCUUUUCCUUUAUUUUUUUAAAAAUCUGAAAGUGUUGUAUAUUUUCCUGUGACCUUUCUGACCAGUUCCCACUAAAUCAGGAGGAUGAAGUGAAUGAAUCUAGCUAUGUUACAACCUUCUCCUAGUGAUUUGCAAAAUUUCUGCAUUUUUCAUACAUAACUUCUAAUUGUGUUAGAACUGCAACAUCAAAGUUACUUGAUUUCUGUGCUGAGUUUUCAUGCUGCCACAGUUUUGUUUGACAGAGAAGUAAUUACAGCAAUGCAGCGAUGGGUUUAAGCCACGGACUCUGAUCCAGAACCAUGCUUUCUCAGAAUGUGUAAGCCCAAGUCAACUUUCCACCACCUAGCUAAUGCCGUUGGAAAGUUUGAGGUGCUAGGCACAUGUUCCUGUAAGAAGUGUUAACCACUUAUUACAUGUUCUCUGGCUGAGGUGCUCUAGGAUGUUUUAAAUACACCCUAAGAGACCCCCACUGCCUUGUGCCAAAGUUGGUGGCUUUCUUCUUGUAUUUUUUCUGUCAUUCUUC
rnacentral:lncRNA from 1 species